GCCCAGACUCCUACGGGAGGCAGCAGUAGGGAAUCUUCCGCAAUGGACGAAAGUCUGACGGAGCAACGCCGCGUGAGUGAUGAAGGUUUUCGGAUCGUAAAACUCUGUUGUUAGGGAAGAACAAGUACGAGAGUAACUGCUCGUACCUUGACGGUACCUAACCAGAAAGCCACGGCUAACUACG
rnacentral:rRNA from 1 species